CGUAGGUAACCUGCCUGGUAGCGGGGGAUAACUAUUGGAAACGAUAGCUAAUACCGCAUAAGAGUAGAUGUCGCAUGACAUUUGCUUAAAAGGUGCAAUUGCAUCACUACCAGAUGGACCUGCGUUGUAUUAGCUAGUUGGUGGGGUAACGGCUCACCAAGGCGACGAUACAUAGCCGACCUGAGAGGGUGAUCGGCCACACUGGGACUGAGACACGGCCCAG
rnacentral:rRNA from 1 species